rnacentral:rRNA from 1 species
GGUGCUUCUACUGCGAGUAACGUCAAUGUACAGUGCUAUGAACACUGAACCCUUCCUCCUCGCUGAAAGUGCUUUACAACCCUAAGGCCUUCUUCACACACGCGGCAUGGCUGCAUCAGGCUUGCGCCCAUUGUGCAAUAUUCCCCACUGCUGCCUCCCGUACGAGUAAC